GAAAUACAAGCAUAACUAUCAUUUUCUUCAUUGAACGUUUACUAAAUUAAUGUAAACUGGAACCUAAGGAUGCAACGUGAGCCAAAUAAUCACACCACUUGUAAGCAAAAUGGGGUCUCCUUCAACAGUUUAGCAGUCAACGUGUUAUUUUUGCGACCCUGUCUCAUGUUAGUUUGCUAGAAAAGCUGCUGUCUAUCCAACCCAAUUUGCAAAUUGACCUCACAUAAAGGAAGAUGGUUAUGGUUGUUACAAUCAGUCAUCCCAACCCCAAGAUUUCACUAUAGAGGUUUCUCAAGGAAUGCACUAGGCCCAACUAUCUUCAUUUGCUACUUCAAUGGCUUUCCAUCAUAAGGUUAAAAAUGGAGAUAUUUUCAGGUUGUCUGCAAGCAACAAGACUGAGGCGACAUUCCAGGAUAGGCUGUUAAGUUGGAACUAACAUUCAGUCAACAAGAAUUUUUGGCAAGAGUGAAUUUAAUCAUCUACCCUUGAUGUUUAAUGCUAUUUCCAUUUAAGAAGUUCCUCCUUGACCCUCCCUGAUCUCACCCACCCAUCAAAGUUCCAGAAGGUCAGAAAUGAGCAGAAACUCAACUGAACGAGACAUAUAAAUACUGUUGGCUACAAGAAUAUUUUAGAAGCUGGAUAUCUUGUGCUAACAGUCUAUCCGUUGACACCUCAGGACAUUUCUACAAUCAACAAGGUAUCUAGAGGAAAAGAAAAAAUACCCUUGCUAUAAGAGUUGAAAAUUACAAGCAAUCUAAAUGUAACUGGUGGAUCAAGCAUACUGAACAUAAUGUACUUACGAUGGUUUUCUCUUCCCUUUUGGACACUAUCUGCUGAGCGCCUGAACAUUUGGAUUAUGCAUUGCAUUGAACUGCUGCUGCUAAGUUAACAAAUUUCACAUCGCACGCCAGUGACAAUAUACCUGAUUGUGAUUCUGAUUAUUGUCUGGAGGAAGUGGAAACUGGAGGACCAUAAGUCAGUCCUCAUUAGAGCAUCAGAAGUGGAGAGGAUCUUGGCGUUAUCAUUUCAGAGGAUCUGCCUGGAAUCAGCAUAUACAGAAAUUCCAUUCAAUGCGAUACAAAUGCCACACAUUUCCCUGAAAACAAUAAUCAAACAUCUUCAGCCCUCCAAGAUGGAAUUUUCAAAGCUUCAGC